rnacentral:ncRNA from 2 species
AUUAUGUGCUGGGGGAGCCGUAGGGCUGAGAGGAAGCUGAUGCUUCGACCCCAUGAACCUGAUCGGGGUAAUUCCCGCGUAGGGAAGCACUGAAUCGAAAAU